rnacentral:misc_RNA from 1 species
UCAGAAUUUACUCAAGUUUGAGUCCAGCAGUUUACCAGGUUCUUGUUUAUCCUUUAUUAGAUUUUUCUUUCUCGAAAGCCAUCAGCUGCAGAGCCUGAUCUACUUUGGCUGCAGCCUUCCCAAGUUGGUGUCUUUUAUCACAUCUCAGCCAAAUUCUCAUCCGGUUUUUAUUUGUCAAGUUCCUACCCUUCACUUCACCCCCCCUCCUCCUUUUUUUCUUUAUGUCGUACCUGAAUUUCUAAAUUCUGAUCCAGAAUCAGAAAGCUGCUUUCUUCCUCUUAAAAUUUUCUUAUCUGGGUAUUUCGUCUCUUUUCUAAUUUUAGUCCGGGAUUCUAUCUUACAGAAGUUGGAACCAAUUUUCCGUGCUUUUUUGAAAAUUUAGUAUCAUAUUCCUGUUUCCUGAUCUGGGUAUCAUCUGAAUCUGCUUCUGUAUAACUGGGAAAUUGGGCUAUAACUAGAAAUGGGCCUUUGUUUGACCAAAGAUAAAAAUACUCAGCCACGGCUCUACAAUGAUACUGCUGGGAUGGUGAAUCAUCAGAAACCCCAAGAACCAAUUGUCUAUCAAUCUAAA